UACGUAGGGUGCAAGCGUUGCCCGGAUUUAUUGGGCGUAAAGGGCGCGUAGGCGGCUCGGCACGUCCGUUGUGAAAUCGCCCGGCUCAACUGGGCGGGGUCAGCGGAUACGGUCGAGCUUGAGCAAGCUAGGGGGCAAUGGAAUUCCCGGUGUAGUGGUGGAAUGCGUAGAUAUCGGGAGGAACACCGGUGGCGAAGGCGGAUCUCUGGGCCUGUCCUGACGCUCAGGCGCGAAAGCUAGGGGAGCGAACAGG
rnacentral:rRNA from 1 species